rfam:Physcomitrella patens subsp. patens PHYPAscaffold_57 genomic scaffold, whole genome shotgun sequence.
AUGGAGCUUCGACAAGGGUGUUUGACUCUACUACCCGUGAACCCCAUCAGAUGGAGAUAUGUGGUUGUAGAGUCAUGCACCUCUGCCGAGGCUCCUG